GGAAUAUUAAUACACUGAUAGAGAAACCUUGAUUUUUUUUGACAAUCUCCACUUUCUUUUACUGAAAAAUACACUGAUCGGAAAAUUUCAAGCGCCCCGGGGACUCUGAUUUCGAAAUUCAAGCGCCCCGGCGAGGGAUCGUUAAAUGGCCUGUGGAAAGCCCUGAGCUAGAUAUUUAUGCCCCCCUUUGAAGAAGAGGGGGUUUAUUGUUUUGCUCAUGUCGGUCCGUCCAUAUAUCCAUCCACCAGAUGGUUUCCGGAUGAUAACUCAAGAAUGCUUAGGCCUAGGAUCAUGAAACUUCAUUGGUACAUUGAUCAUGACUCGCAGAUGACCCCUAUUGAUUUUCAGGUCACUAGGUCAAAGGUCAAGGUCACGGUGACCCGAAAUAGUAAAAUGGUUUCCGGAUGAUAACUCAAGAAUGCUUAUGCCUAGGAUCAUGAAACUUCAUAGGUACAUUGAUCAUGACUCGCAGAUGACCCCUAUUGAUUUUCAGGUCACUAGGUCAAAGGUCAAGGUCACAGUGCCAAAAAACGUAUUCACACAAUGGCUGCCACUACAACUGACAGCCCUUAUAGGGGGCAUGCAUGUUUUACAAACAGCCCGUGUUUUGUUUUAUUUGCCAGCAUUUACUUUUUUACACAUUUAUUUUAUUUUUUUACAAUUGUAUGAUAUCCAUGACUUGAUGUACAAAGUAUGGUGUUGAACCAUUGUUCAGUUGAGUUUAUAAUUUGUGUACACAACAUGUAUUAAGAAAGAGCUGUUAUUUAUAUAAAAGUAAUUAAAACAUCGUUUCUUUCCUACGAAAAUCUGACAAAAAAGGGAAUAAAUGUAUUCAUACAUUAUACAGUGCAACACACAUUCCAAGUAUAGCAUAACCUUAACACUUGUGAUAUAAAGUAAACACAAACAUUUGCGAUAUAGACAGUUACUUUUAUUCACAAGUACUUCCUUUGUUCUUUAUUUUAUCUUAAUAGAAUAUCUUACCAGCCAUAAGCCCUGUAUAAUGAAAUCUCAUUUGUUUUCAUUGGCAUCUCAAAGGAUGCUUUAUUCCUGUCCAAGUUUCUUGUAGGUUUUUAGCGAGGCGUUUUCGGAGAAAACCCAAGGUAUUGUCAUAGCCAGCUCGUUGUCCGACGUCUGCCAUCCGCGUCGUGCUAAAAACUUAACAUUUUAUUAAGGUUUUGAACAUUGGCUCUAAAAUCAAAUUGCUUCCACCUAGAUCUACAACUUUGAAACUUCAUAUGUAGAUGCACCUUGAUGAGUUCUACACGCCACACCCAUUUUGGGGUCACUAGGUAAAAGGUCAAGGUUCAUUUAUUAAAAAACUGCACCCGUUGCCGAGCGUGGCACCCGUUAUGCGAUGCUCUUGUUUAAUAAUUUUUUCCUGCAUCCAUUAAAACAAAUCUGAGUGUGUAGCUAAAUCAGCUUAUUUGGCUAAUUGUUUGCUCAGUAUUGUGAAAUUUAUGGUGCUACACUUGUCAUAAGAUAGCGUAGUCAUUGAUGUUACUUAUAGUAAUUUUUCCGGGGUUGUAAAACAAAUAAUGUUUGAUAGUUGUAUGUUACCUUCAAUUUUCUGCCAUUUGAUUUAUCAAUAUAAAAAAACAACUAGUACUGUUUAUGUUUAAUUUUGUAAAACAGCUUUAAGUAUUGUAUACACCAACUUUAUAAUUCUGUUUUCUUCAUUAUGUUAUAAAUAAUUUGUGUAUUUUUUUUUAAAUGCAUUUAAUCCUGUUAGAAUAUUUUUUACAAAAUCAAAAGUAUUUUUAAUGUUAAUUUAGAUUUUACUUUGCAGUUGCAAAGCAUGAUAUGCAGAUAAUAGUCAGAUAUACUUGUAGCUUUAGUAUAAAACAUGUAGUAUUGUUAUUAGAAUCUCUUCAUACUUUAUUUCUCUUCAUUUUUUGAUGCCUUCAAAGCUUUGGGGUCACUAAACAUUUAACUUGCCUGUAGGUAUGUCUGUACAUCUUGAAGCUUGUGCUUUCAACUUCCAUGUAACCACUUUCUUGUAGCGUGUGUUUAACUGCCCUGUAAACACUUGGUGAAUCUUGCCAAAACUUUCACAGUGCCCAUUAUGUUAAGAUGAUCAAAAUAAAUAGAUUUUGGUUUUGACAAGUUUUAAAAGAAUAAUGGCCCUUUGUCUGUUUUUCAAAAUAGAGUUUAUAGUCCCAAACUUUGUUGUUAUUUUUUUUAACUUAAACUGAUUGGCGUACACUUUGCUCAAGCUUUCACAGCUUAAUGGCAUUAAUAGAUAAAUGUUCAAGAAGAAAUGAUUAUUGGCUUCGAUCGGUUUUGACUGAAUUAUUACCCUUUGUCUUUGUGUGUGUUCCCUGUAUACUUUAUAGUGAUAUUGUCUGUGUCCAAAUGUGAGUAGUGUGGGCAUCAGUGUCUGUGACACAUUUCUAGUUGUAUGCUCUAUAUUAGUAAUGUAUUUGUGCAAUAUUCAGAGCUGUUGUUUGGAAGUUGUGUUUUUGGCGUAGUAAGAGUUUGACUUUAAGUUGUGAUAAGUGUCUUUUGCUAAAAACCCUGUGAUGGAUUGCCUUGAAGCCCAUGUGAUAAAUGGGCCAUGCUCUGUGAAAAAGGGAUUAAAUGCAUGAGCGUAAAGUGUCAUCCAAGAAUAUCCUGUGCAGUCCGCACAGGCUAAACAGGGACAACACUUUAUGCUUUUAUGAUAUUUUUUGUUUACAGAAAUUCACUUCUUAGCUAAUCCAGAUUAGGUGGAAAGUGUCGGGCCAGAUUAGCCUGUGCACAGGCUUAUCUGGGGCAACACUGUACGCACAUGCAUUAAACCCCCUUUUCACAGAGCACAGCCUAAAUGCACUUUUAAAUGGCAUCAAAUAUUCAAAUUAUCACCCAGGUGUCAUAUUUUUAAGAAAGAUGUUUUUAGUAAAUUUACUAAGAAAUUCCUCUAUAAGAAUAAGUCACAAGGCCCGUUGUUUUGAUAUUUGGUAUGUAACAUCAGAUAGUGGUUCUCUACUUAUUUUGUUCUAAGUAUGCAUACAGGAUCACCGUGGACACACCCAUGUGAUGGGGUGAAAUGUUUGAUAUAGUCUUACAUAGCAAGGUAUGUUCAAAUUCUGCGGCUCUUGUCAAACAGUACCCCAAACAAUGCAUUUUCAUUGGAAAUCAACGCCUUUUUUUACACAAUUUUCUUAUUGUUUAUAUUAUUAUUAGUAGUAUAGUAGUUGUAAAAUAUUUUACAUCGAUUUAUUUGCUACUGUAACUUACAAUAUUUUCAAAAAUGUGCAUUUUUGUGCUUUUCGUUUGAUGUAUAUUUUUUUUUAUUAAUGUUAUUUAAAAAAAAUGUGUGAAAAUGUUUGUACAAGAAAUAAAAUUGUUAAAGGUGACAGGUUGAAAUACAUGUCAUGAUAUUAUUACAUAUCAAAAGUAGUCACAUAUUAGUCUUCAAUGUGUCGGGAUGUUAUCAGAGGACUGUUGGCCAAAAGAAUGGUGAAGAACUUUUAUGGUUCUAAUUGUUAUAUGCAGUUCUUAUUUCUGUAUGACAAUAAGUUUCAUGUACUUAUAAAUUGAAAUCUGAUUUAAGUUUUAAAUGCGGGAUUUAUUGGUCUUUGAUCAACCAUGUGUGAUAUUGUCUGUAUUUUACUGUAUUUUAAGUAUGGAAAAUAAAGCGGUGUAUGUUGCUUAA